CUAGGUGUGGCCCAGUGGUAGAGUGCAUGCUUAGCACUCAGGAGGCCCUGGGUUCAACCCCCAGUACCUCCA
rnacentral:tRNA from 1 species